rnacentral:rRNA from 1 species
UACAGAGACUCCAAGCGUUAUCCGGUUUUAUUGGGCGUAAAGCGUUCCGAUCGGUGGUUAAAUGUGUCUAAGGUAAAAUACUACAGCUUAACUGUAUGUUCGCUUUAGAAACUAUUUAACUAGAAGAAUAAAGAGGUAGCUGGAAUUAUACAAGUAGGGGUGAAAUCCGCUGAUAUGUAUGAGAACACCAAAAGCGAAGGCAGGCUACUAAUUAUUACUUGACACUGCUAGGACGAAAGCGUGGGGAGCAAUACGG